GAUAACUCGAGCUUAUUUGGUUAAUCUUUUUAGUUUAGGGAAGGUUAUGAAAAAUUAACCCCGAUCUGAUUUUUAAAUUUUUUAUCUUAUAUUGUGCCCCCGGCUAACAAUAUAUCUAGAUCCGUCCCUGAUCAGGUCCAUGAGAUAUAUCAUAUUUUUAUUUUUCUUAUUUAAUUAAUUAUAUAUAUAAUAUUUGAGGAUAUAUUUAAAAUUUUACAUAUCGUUGAAAGCCAGAAAAAAAUGUGGAAGUGUAAUAAAACAAUUUUCUCCAGGAAGAAGAUAUUUCAGCCAUUCGCCUAUUUAUGUGUAUGAGAUCCCAUUCAAGGACAUACUGUUUUCCGUGAGCUACUGAAUGAAUACGAUGCUUUUGUUGUAAACGCAACCUAUUGGUUUUUUUUUUCCGCCAAGUUUUGUUUUUAUUAAUCAAACGGGCCAAGCCCAAACGGUCGAAGCCCAAAUACACUAAGUACCAAACAAAAGGCCCACAGACACAACGGGCUACAACAUUAAUGGCUGAAGCCCAAGUAAACUAAACGGCCCAAAGGCCCAAACAUUGAAACCGGACAGCUUGACCUAGGCGCGCGAUAAGGAGACUGGGGUUUGAACACGUGUAAGAAUCUGGGCCAUUAGUAUGACACGCGUCGCCCGCCUCGACUUGAUCGAAACCUCUUCGCACAGCCGCAUGAACUUGCCACCGACGACCUCGUUUCGCCGGAGC
rnacentral:lncRNA from 1 species